CGGUGUUCAACUGGCGUGCCCGCGGGACGUCCUGCCGGUGAGCUCAGCCCGCGAGGGCGGCUCAACUUGAAAUCCCAUCGCGGUGCUCUUCAUUGAGUGUCGAGGUGGGCCGGCACGAUUACUUUUGAACAGAUUAGAGUGCUUAAAGCAGGCUAAAAUUUUGCCUGAAUACUGUGUAUAUGGAAUAAUGGAAUAGGACCUCGGUUCUAUUUUGUUGGUUUUCGGAACCCCGAGGUAAUGAUUAAUAGGAACGGAUGGGGGCAUUCGUAUUGCGACGUUAGAGGUGAAAUUCUUGGGUCGUCGCAAGACGGACUAAAGCGAAGGCAUUUGCCAAAAACGCUUUCAUUGAUCAAGAACGAAAGUUAGAGGUUCGAAGGCGAUCAGAUACCGCCCUAGUUCUAACCAUAAACUAUGCCAGCUAGCGAUCCGCCGACGUCCCUCUGAUGACUCGGCGGGCAGCUUCCGGGAAACCAAAGCUUUUGGGUUCCGGGGGAAGUAUGGUUGCAAAGCUGAAACUUAAAGGAAUUGACGGAAGGGCACCACCAGGAGUGGAGCCUGCGGCUUAAUUUGACUCAACACGGGAAACCUCACCAGGCCCAGACACUGGAAGGAUUGACAGAUUGAGAGCUCUUUCUUGAUUCAGUGGGUGGUGGUGCAUGGCCGUUCUUAGUCGGUGGAGCGAUUUGUCAGGUUAAUUCCGAUAACGGACGAGACUCUGACCUGAUAACUAGACGCACUUGCGGCAUCUCAAAGGUCCGCCGGCGGCUGGCUUUGCGCCCGUCGUCGCGCGCGAUUUUUACUGCCGGCGUACAAUAAAUUCUUCUUAGAGGGACAAGUGG
rnacentral:rRNA from 1 species